rnacentral:rRNA from 1 species
UGGGGAAUAUUGCACAAUGGGCGAAAGCCUGAUGCAGCAACGCCGCGUGAGGGACGACGGCCUUCGGGUUGUAAACCUCUUUUAGCAAGGAAGAAGCGAAAGUGACGGUACUUGCAGAAAAAGCGCCGGCUAACUACGUGCCAGCAGCCGCGGUAAUACNUAGGGCGCAAGCGUUAUCCGGAAUUAUUGGGCGUAAAGAGCUCGUAGGCGGUUUGUCGCGUCUGCUGUGAAAACCCGAGGCUCAACCUCGGGCCUGCAGUGGGUACGGGCAGACUAGAGUGCGUAGGGGAGAUUGGAACUCCUGGUGUAGCGGUGGAAUGCGCAGAUAUCAGGAAGAACACCGAUGGCGAAGGCAGAUCUCUGGGCCGUAACUGACGCUGAGGAGCGAAA